CUUCCCCCCUUCUCUCUCUCUCUCCACCAAACUAUCUCACGCUCUCUCAAUCUCUCACACUGCUGCAAACCUCUCUCAGAUGAUUGGGGCACCCAAACAUCUCGCUCCUCACUCAAUCUCCCUCUUUGCCUUCUCUCAAUCACUCUCGCUGCUGCCCCAUUGUUGCUGCUCCUUUGCUCAAUUGUGACAAUAUUCGGGAUUUGAGGUGCAUCCAAGGUUUGUUGCUGUCCCAUUGCUCGAUUGGGGCAUUCUUCGGGAUUUGAGGUGCAUCCAAGGUUCAGGGUUAAUUGAAAGAGUUUUAUGGACCCUGCCAUAUCAGUCGGUGUGACAUCUCCCUCGUGCACAAUUGUAGACAGCACAAAUGGCACCAUUGAGACCAGAACGGUCUGCUUGGAAUGCCGAAGAAAAUGUGCCGUACAGAACGGUCUGCUAGGAAUGCCAAAGAAAACCAUUGAUGGUUGGGUGCAACAAAGUCAUCUAAAAUUGGUGGAAAGCAACAAUGUGAUGUUCGUUGAUGCAUACAACAAGAGCAGAUAGUUCUCAACCAUCUCAAGGAACACUAAGGAGAAAUUUGCUGUUGCGAGCUCAAGAUGUCUAUUUGGAUUUUUCAAUUUGCUGUUGUGAACUCCAGAUGUCUAUUUUAACUCUUUUAAUUUGCUGUUGAGGACUCAAAAUGUCUAUUUUGGCUUUUUCAAUUUGCUGCUGCAGACUCAAGAUGUCUAUUUUGCCUUUUUUUUGUUGUAUGGACUUUAGAAAAUAACAUUAUAAAAUAUAUAUUCAUUGUGUGGCUACCCAUUUCUAGACAUGUCGCCUAGAAAGGAAAGAAAUGAAGAUACUGCACUGUCAUAUUUGGGAUCAAAUGUUUCCCUUCACUGUGACUGUAAUUUCAGUAUUGCAAUGUAUCUUGUCUAUAAAAUUAAUGUUCUUUCAUAUAACAA